CACACAUUACCAGAUACAUACACAUUACCAGAUACACACACAUUACCAGGCAACUCUUUUUGUUUAUAUUUACAACUCAGGUCAGGUAUGGUGGCCUGUAGAGUCCCUUGGGAAACCCAACUACCGAACCAUCCAAUGAUGGGAUUUAUAAAUAAAUGAUCUGGGCUUCUGAAA